ACAUAAUUACAAACUUUAAAGAGUUGUACAAGGCAACUCUUAUUUCUUCACACAACAAAUUGUAAGUGAAGAAUUAUGGCACAUAAAGUGUCCAUGCCUUUGUGCUUUCUUCUCAAGUUCUUUGUUCAUUUAACAAAGAGACAAGCACUAAGUGUUUGUAUUGACUAAGAGUUGUUCAAAGCAACUCCUAUUUCUUCAUACAACAACAAUUUGUAAUUGAAGAAUUAUGACAUUUAAAAGUGUUGUCCUCUUCAUGAUAGACCUUUCUAACAUGUUCUUCCAAUGAUACAUUAUCAUUAGGAAGAUUGUGAGGAUGAGACUACUUAGAUACAUAUGCAAUCCUUUUAAGACAUUCUUUGGGAUUGUGGUACCUAAGUCCGUAAACUAAACGUUCGGUUUUUAUUUGUCAAGUGGUGGAUAG
rnacentral:lncRNA from 1 species